CAUUUGCGUUAGGGAUUGCAGUGAAAAUCCUUUUUUGAGGCUUUUUGCCGAUAAAAAAGAUUACAACGAAAAGCCCGACCCUUG
rnacentral:sRNA from 1 species